rnacentral:tRNA from 1 species
GCAUCCGUAGCUCAGCUGGAUAGAGUACUCGGCUACGAACCGAGCGGUCGGAGGAUACUUCUCCAUGCU